rnacentral:rRNA from 1 species
CCUACGGGUGGCAGCAGUCGAGAAUUUUUCUCAAUGGGGGAAACCCUGAAGGAGCGACGCCGCGUGGAGGAUGAAGGUCUUCGGAUUGUAAACUCCUGUCAUUUGAGAACUAGUAUCAGAAGAGGAAGAGGCGGCUAACUCUGUGCCAGCAGCCGCGGUAAUACAGAGGCCUCAAGCGUUGUUCGGAUUCAUUGGGCGUAAAGGGAGCGUAGGCGGUCGGGUAAGUUGGAUGUGAAAUCCUGGGGCUCAACCUCAGAACUGCAUUCAAUACUGCUUGGCUAGAGUAUUGGAGAGGUGAGUGGAAUUCACGGUGUAGCAGUGAAAUGCGUAGAUAUCGUGAGGAAGACCAGCGGCGAAGGCGGCUCACUGGACAUACUGACGCUGAUGCUCGAAGGCCAGGGGAGCAAACGGGAUUAGAUACCCUUGUAGUC